AAUAUUAGACAAAUCAUUUCAUAUUCUUGUGUUUGGACAGAUGAUCUUCACACUUGCUUUUUCCUGGAACCAAACUGAAAACCGUCAGAUAGCAUCUGCUUUUUACAUAAUACAAUACCUAAUAUAAAUUCCUAGCUCAAUGUCUUAAUUCCAGAGCUAAACUGGGUAAUUAUCAUAACCAGUAUAUUUACACAAUUGUGUUAACUAUACAUUUAUUAGUAAAGGAAUACAUUUUCUAAAGUAUAUUUCUCUAUAUAAACUUUAUAUUGGUCCUUUAAGUAGAGCAUUUUGGUGAUGUGAAAUAUUGGAUUGUAUGUCCAAAGAAGGAAACCUUCAUCUUAAAGGAACACUGCAAGCACCAUAACAACUACAGCCCACUGUAGUGGUUGUGGAACCAGGAGUGCCCUGGUACUAAGGUAAAUAGUUAGACUUAUUUUAGUAUGGUUUGACAACUACACUGGGUCUUGUCGGGUGCCUGUGGCUUUAUACCAUGCAUCUGUUCCUCUCAUACCAGAGUGUUGUGAGGGCUAGGUCUUUUAUAGAGCCCUGAUUUAUGUAAUUGAAAAGGUAAUUUAGAAUUAUACAAAAGAGGACUAGAGUUCUAUAAAGGAACUGUCCCUUCUAAAAAAGAAUACUUGGGAGGUAUGUGAAUCUGCCUCCUAUAACUUGAGAUUACAAAAAAAUCUCUGUUCUCUGUAGGUUUAGUUGAUUUAAGUCAAGCACAAACUAUUACUGUAAAACACUGUUUAAAAGGAUGGAAAGAAUAAUGAAAUAUUUUGAUUCGAAUUCCAUUUUCUUUAUAAUUGUAAAUAUCAUCAUGUCUGUUACAUGUGCUGUGUAGGUAGCCACACGCUCUGCCUAUUCUCCUGACAUCUGUAAUCAUGACUAUGCCUGUUUAAAGCAAUUCUACAGCAUAGGAAUACAAAAAUGAGAGUUUUGGACCUUACGGUUCUCUAUUGGAAGUAUGGAGUGAUUCUCUGGAAUUCUAACAUAUUUGACUACUUACAAUUGGGGGAGGGGUGGCCCUAGAGGACUAAUGGCACCAUAAUCACUACUGCUUGUUGUAGGGAUUUUGGUGCUUGGCGUGUUCCUUUAAACUUGUUAGAAUCAAUUACAUUGUUUACGGUCAUCAUAAUAUGUUUGUGCAGACCUUAUGUCAAGACAAAUUGUUAUGCUAAUCACUAAAUUGGCAAGACAUGGCAUCUUUAAAGGAACACUAUAGGGUCAGGAACACAAAAAUGUAUUCCUGACCCUAUAGUACUAAAACACCAUCUAGCCCCCCUGACUACUCCUUGCCCUGCCUAAAUAUAGUAUACUCUUACCUUUAUUCCAGUCUGCUGCUGUCGCUGCACCUGAUCUGCCUGCUUGGUUGUCAUCAUCAGGUCCAUAGGAAAGCAUUGUACUGAUUAAGACUGUCAAGGAGGAUCAGGGGCAGAGUCAGCACAUGCCUAUAGUGUCCCUUUAAAGAUCAAAACGUUUUGAUAUCAUAAACAAUCAUGGUUAAUAACGAGUUGAAAUUAUUAUUUUGUUGCACUCUGUACCUGUCAGUUCAAUAAGUACGGUAACAUUUGUGACAGUUACCAGGUUUAUAGGAGAUUAACAACCUCAAACCAUAUUCAUGCACAAAAUAGAAGCGACAAUUAUGCUGACAGAUACAAACAGUAAUUGUUUGUUUCUUAGAUGAUGGAAUUCUACAAUAGUUUCUAAAGGACAAUGCUCUCCAGCUAGAUGACAAUUUAGAAAAGAUGUAAACAGAUUUGUCUCUUGGAGUUGAGGUAGACCAUUAGACUUAAUGAUCAGCUCUUUGCUUUAAUU